CCACGAGCUGGGGUUGUGACGGUUGUGGUUGACACGGACACAGCGGCAGGAGACGCGUCUGGCUCUGCCUCUCUGUGCCGACUGCUGGCGAUUGGAGUCACGAGACCUUGCUCUAGGGCUGGGUAGCAAGCUCCAUUCGCUGUCUACGCGGAGACCGUUCUCAAGUUCAAACCCAGAUACUUCUGCGAGGCAGAAGCACGGGUUCAACAUGAACUUCACCGGAAAAGGAAAGAGCAUGGAAGGAAAAGGACUUACUGGCUACCCUCUUGCCAAGAGGAUUUCUCUGGCAAAUCCCUCUAUGCUCCUGCCCUCCAAGCCAUUGCCUCCUAUCCCGAAGAGCUCUUCCAAGACAAGCAAGAUGUGCAGCGGAGAGCAAGGGACUGGGAAAAGUGGAACUGGCUAUGACAAUGACGACAGCAGAAAAAAACAGGAGCUGAGUUCAGAGGGAAAAGGAUGUAAGGCUUCCUUGCUGUAUCACACUGAAGGGGAUAUGAAGAAGGAGUCAUUGGGUCUCCCUCUGAUCCCCCCGAUACGCAGGGCAGUAAGUCCCGAUGUUGGCAGUGCUGCAG
rnacentral:lncRNA from 1 species